rnacentral:rRNA from 1 species
UGGCGGCAGGCCUAACACAUGCAAGUCGAGCGGAUGAGGGAAGCUUGCUUCCUGAUUUAGCGGCGGACGGGUGAGUAAUGCCUAGGAAUCUGCCUGUUAGUGGGGGAUAACGUUCCGAAAGGAACGCUAAUACCGCAUACGUCCUACGGGAGAAAGUGGGGGAUCUUCGGACCUCACGCUAACAGAUGAGCCUAGGUCGGAUUAGCUAGUAGGUGAGGUAAUGGCUCACCUAGGCUACGAUCCGUAACUGGUCUGAGAGGAUGAUCAGUCACACUGGAACUGAGACACGGUCCAGACUCCUACGGGAGGCAGCAGUGGGGAAUAUUGGACAAUGGGCGAAAGCCUGAUCCAGCCAUGCCGCGUGUGUGAAGAAGGUCUUCGGAUUGUAAAGCACUUUAAGUUGGGAGGAGGGUCUGUAAGUUAAUACCUUGCAGUCUUGACGUUACCAACAGAAUAAGCACCGGCUAACUCUGUGCCAGCAGCCGCGGUAAUACAGAGGGUGCAAGCGUUAAUCGGAAUUACUGGGCGUAAAGCGCGCGUAGGUGGUUUGGUAAGUUGAAUGUGAAAGCCCCGGGCUCAACCUGGGAACUGCAUCCAAAACUGCCUGACUAGAGUACGGUAGAGGGUGGUGGAA